rnacentral:rRNA from 1 species
GAACGCUGGCGGCGUGCUUAACACAUGCAAGUCGAACGGACCGAGUUGAUAGCUUGCUAUGAUGAGGUUAGUGGCAAACGGGUGAGUAACGCGUAGGCAACCUGCCCUUCAGAUGGGGACAACACCUCGAAAGGGGUGCUAAUACCGAAUGACGUUUCCUAGUCGCAUGACCUGGAAACCAAAGGCCGGGCAACCGGUCACUGAAGGAUGGGCCUGCGUCUGAUUAGCUAGUUGGUGGGGUAACGGCCCACCAAGGCGACGAUCAGUAGCCGGUCUGAGAGGAUGAACGGCCACAUUGGGACUGAGACACGGCCCAAACUCCUACGGGAGGCAGCAGUGGGGAAUCUUCCGCAAUGGGCGCAAGCCUGACGGAGCAACGCCGCGUGAGUGAAGAAGGUUUUCGGAUCGUAAAGCUCUGUUGAGAGGGACGAGAGAUAUAAUCAGGAAAUGGGUUAUAGAGGACGGUACCUUUCGAGGAAGCCACGGCUAACUACGUG